rnacentral:rRNA from 1 species
CGACGGUGAGUAANUGCGUGACCAACCUGCCCCAUGCUCCAGAAUAGCUCUUGGAAACGGGUGGUAAUGCUGGAUGCUCCAACUUGACGCAUGUCUUGUUGGGAAAGUGUUUAGUGGCAUGGGAUGGGGUCGCGUCCUAUCAGCUUGUAGGCGGGGUAAUGGCCCACCUAGGCUUCGACGGGUAGCCGGCCUGAGAGGGCGGACGGCCACAUUGGGACUGAGAUACGGCCCAGACUCCUACGGGAGGCAGCAGGU